UACAGAGCCAUAUUGGGGCAGUCUUGCACUUGGUCAGAGUUUGACUUUGGUCAAGGUUAACUUCUCCCAGUUAGCCAGGAUCCUGCUCCACCUAGGGUGGAGUGCACGUAGUAAAGGUCAAGUUCAUUGUUCCUCCAGGUAUAGGGAGUCCUGAAUUAAACAGGUGACCCACCCAGCUGCCGGAGCAGUCAAGACGAAGACCUCCAAGAGAAGCUAGACAACUUCCACCGGAACUCAGCCUGGAGUCUGGGGGGAAGGGGUUUGCCCGAACUGUUAAAAGGUCCGGCGCCAUUAAAGUUGACGGCUUUGAUCAGUGAA